AUGCUUUUUUUAGAUUACUAUUAUGCUCUUUUAUUAUGUCUUCCAUUCAAUGAGUCAGGAUUGUAAAUACAAGUUUUUGUUGUCCAAAGACACUUGGACACUGAGUUAUGUGUACUUCAAUGUUUUUGAAUAAUGCUCUUUUGUAUCGGCUGAAUAAAUAUGAAUCCAAUUAGUAACAAUAAAAAGGAUUGCUAGAUGGAAAUGUUCUUUAACUGUAAAUAAUGCAUUUUUAAUUUUUUGGUUGUGUUGUUCUCACAGAUUUCCAAAUAGGAAAAAUAUUUGUAUGACAGUAAACCAAAGUGAUUAUUUUACUACAGGACUACAAAUAGUUUGUUUUAUAAUCUAAUUUCAAGAUACAAUACCUGCUUUAGAAAUUCCUCACCAGAAUAUUUACCUUCUAGUGCAUUUUUCUGUAAUGGAUUAACUGAUUUAGUCAAAGUGGAUGGGUACCCAAACCACCAGAGCAACUGCAAAUGUGAUGCCCAUGGUUACACAAUUUAGCUCAUGUACUAGUAGUAGAUUUAUUGUAUUAUCUCUUUAUAAUGGAUGAGGUUAAAGAAGUAUAAUCCCUCCUCGCCUGGUCAUUGACAAUCACUUUGGAUGAGCAUUUUAUUGAAAAAAAUUCACUGCCAUUUCUCUAGCAUCCACAGAUAGUAAAUAAGUAAUAAAUAAAUAAAUAAAAAAGUUACUUAUAAAACGCUUACUACCGAAGUCUCUAGUACACCUUAAUAGUCUUUAUAACUGUAAUGUACUUGAGUAAUAUAAAUAUAUAUGUAUAAUGUAAAUAUAUUAAAUAACUGCAUGUCUCUCUCUCUCAGGCUCUCUCUUUCAAACAAGCUGUGUCAAUAUACCUGAAAUGUCUUUUUUUUAUAUUUUGAGAAGUAGCUUUUCUCAAGUUAAUAUGCAUUUGAUAAAUGCAUUUCAUCUCUAGUGUGAAAAGAAUUCAAUGUAAAUAGAAUAUUUAUUGGUGCUUAUUUCGGAGUGCCAUGUGCUUUUUUUCGUUUAUUCAUGUUGAUGUCAUGUAUUGCCAUGUCAUCUCAUCCAUCUAACAUGUCACUUAGGGCUCCUUAUACACUACAUUUGAAACCUAAGUGGAGGGUUGUAUCUGCAAAUUAUUAAAUGUUUAAUCAAAAUGAAACCAUACCAAAUUAUUCAGAAGGCAAUUUUUCAGUCACUUUAAAUAUGCACUUCAUCGAUGCAUUUCAUCCAUUGUGUGCAAAUCGUGUUAUGUUUUCUGAUUAUAAUUUUGUGGUUGUUUAUGGGUACUUUGUACUUUGAUAUUAGUUUCCAACCUCUUACCAGAAUACCAGUUAACUUUCCUUUUUGUUGAGGGGAAGAAGAUUACUUAGCAACUUCAAACUGUAUUCCUAGCUAGAUUCAUGUAUUAUUAAUAAUAGUAAUAAUAACAAUAAUAAAUACUUAUAAAGCGCACUUAUCUAAUAAAUUACUCAAGGCACUAUACAAAACAAUAUUAAAAUGAAUUAUUUACAAUAUGUGAGAAAUUUAUAUUUUAAUACUAUAUAUUUUCUGUCUAUUUUACUGCUUGCUGUGAAUGAAUUCAUAUUAAAAACAUUUGCUAAUAAAUCUGAACCUAAAGUGCCAUUUGCAA